GGAAGGAUCAUUAAUGAAUAACACUCGAUGGGUUGUUGCUGGUCUCUCGGGACAUGUGCACGCCUGUCUUUGUUCCAUUCAUCCACCUGUGCACCAUUUGUAGUCUUUUAGGGCAGAGAAUGAUUGUUAAUCAGUCGAGAGACUGGAUCAGAGGAUUGUAUGUGUGCGCAAGCGUACAGCUCUCCUCAGUAAUAAGAUUAUGAUCUCCUUUCAAGUCUAUGUUUUUGUUCAUAUACCACAUAGAAUGUCACAGAAUGUAUUCAUUAGGCCCUUGUGCCUAUAAAACUAUAUACAACUUUCAGCAACGGAUCUCUUGGCUCUCGCAUCGAUGAAGAACGCAGCGAAAUGCGAUAAGUAAUGUGAAUUGCAGAAUUCAGUGAAUCAUCGAAUCUUUGAACGCACCUUGCGCUUCUUGGUAUUCCGAGAAGCAUGCCUGUUUGAGUGUCAUUUAAUUCUCAACCCCCUCUGGCUUUUUUAGUUGGAUUGCGGGGCUUGGAUGGUGGAGGUAUAUGCUGGUCCUCACAGAGUAUCAGCUCCUCUUAAAUGCAUUAGCGGAACCGUUUGCGAUCCGUCACUGGUGUGAUAAUUAUCUACGCCAAUUGGGUUGCUCAAUGUUUGUUCAGCUACUAAUAGUCCCUUUUUCUGGGAUAACUUUCUGAACUCUUGACCUCAAAUCAGGUAGGACUACCCGCUGAACUUAAGCAUAUCAAUAAGCGGAGGAAAAGAAACUAACAAGGAUUCCCCUAGUAACUGCGAGUGAAGCGGGAAAAGCUCAAAUUUAAAAUCUGGCAGUCUUUGGCUGUCCGAGUUGUAAUCUAGAGAAGUAAUGCCCGCGCUGGACCGUGUAUAAGUCUCCUGGAAUGGAGCGUCAUAGAGGGUGAGAAUCCCGUCUUUGACACGGACUCCCAGGGCUUUGUGGUAUGCUCUCAAAGAGUCGAGUUGUUUGGGAAUGCAGCUCAAAAUGGGUGGUAAAUUCCAUCUAAAGCUAAAUAUUGGCGAGAGACCGAUAGCGAACAAGUACCGUGAGGGAAAGAUGAAAAGAACUUUGGAAAGAGAGUUAAACAGUACGUGAAAUUGCUGAAAGGGAAACGCUUGAAGUCAGUCGCGUUGGCCGGGGAUCAGCCUUGCUUCUUGCAUGGUGUACUUUCUGGUUAACGGGUCAACAUCAAUUUUGACCGCUGGAAAAAGGCUUGGGGAAUGUGGCAGCUUCGGCUGUGUUAUAGCCUCUUGUUGUAUACAGCGGUUGGGAUUGAGGAACUCAGCACGCCGCAAGGCCGGGUUUCGACCACGUUCGUGCUUAGGAUGUUGGCAUAAUGGCUUUAAGCGACCCGUCUUGAAACACGGACCAAGGAGUCUAACAUGCCUGCGAGUGUUUGGGUGGUAAACCCGAGCGCGUAAUGAAAGUGAAAGUUGAGAUCCCUGUCGUGGGGAGCAUCGACGCCCGGACCAGAACUUUUGGGACGGAUCCGCGGUAGAGCAUGUAUGUUGGGACCCGAAAGAUGGUGAACUAUGCCUGAAUAGGGUGAAGCCAGAGGAAACUCUGGUGGAGGCUCGUAGCGAUUCUGACGUGCAAAUCGAUCGUCAAAUUUGGGUAUAGGGGCGAAAGACUAAUCGAACCAUCUAGUAGCUGGUUCCUGC
rnacentral:misc_RNA from 1 species